rnacentral:tRNA from 1 species
ACGACUGUCGUCCAGCAGCCAGGACCGCGGAUUCCAAAUCCGCUGACGCAGGUGCGAGUCCUGCCGGUCGUGCCA